CCUACGGGAGGCAGCAGUGGGGAAUAUUGGGCAAUGGGCGCAAGCCUGACCCAGCAACGCCGCGUGAAGGAAGAAGGCUUUCGGGUUGUAAACUUCUUUUCUCAGGGACGAAGAAAGUGACGGUACCUGAGGAAUAAGCCACGGCUAACUACGUGCCAGCAGCCGCGGUAAUACGUAGGUGGCACGCGUUAUCAGGAUGUACUGGGUGUAAAGGGCGGGUAGGCGGGACUGCAAGUCAGAUGUGAAAACCACGGGCGCAACCUGUGGCCUGCAUUUGAAAAUGGAGGUCUUGAGUACUGGAGAGGCAGACGGAAGUCCUAGUGUAGCGGUGAAAUGCGUAGAUAUUAGGAGGACCACCAGUGGCGAAGGCGGUCUGCUGGACAGCAACUGACGCUGAGGCGCGAAAGCGUGGGGAGCAAACAGGAUUAGAUACCCUUGUAGUC
rnacentral:rRNA from 1 species